rnacentral:rRNA from 1 species
GGGACACGUGGUAUCCUGUCUGAAUAUGGGGGGACCAUCCUCCAAGGCUAAAUACUCCUGACUGACCGAUAGUGAACCAGUACCGUGAGGGAAAGGCGAAAAGAACCCCGGCGAGGGGAGUGAAAAAGAACCUGAAACCGUGUACGUACAAGCAGUGGGAGCACCUUCGGGUGUGACUGCGUACCUUUUGUAUAAUGGGUCAGCGACUUAUAUUCUGUAGCAAGGUUAACCGUAUAGGGGAGCCGCAGGGAAACCGAGUCUUAACUGGGCGUUAAGUUGCAGGGUAUAGACCCGAAACCCGGUGAUCUAGCCAUGGGCAGGUUGAAGGUUGGGUAACACUAACUGGAGGACCGAACCGACUAAUGUUGAAAAAUUAGCGGAUGACUUGUGGCUGGGGGUGAAAGGCCAAUCAAACCGGGAGAUAGCUGGUUCUCCCCGAAAGCUAUUUAGGUAGCGCCUCGUGAACUCAUCUUCGGGGGUAGAGCACUGUUUCGGCUAGGGGGUCAUCCCGACUUACCAACCCGAUGCAAACUACGAAUACCGAAGAAUGUUAUCACGGGAGACACACGGCGGGUGCUAACGUCCGUCGUGAAGAGGGAAACAACCCAGACCGCCAGCUAAGGUCCCAAAGUCAUGGUUAAGUGGGAAACGAUGUGGGAAGGCACAGACAGCCAGGAUGUUGGCUUAGAAGCAGCCAUCAUUUAAAGAAAGCGUAAUAGCUCACUGGUCGAGUCGGCCUGCGCGGAAGAUGUAACGGGGCUAAACCAUGCACCGAAGCUGCGGCAGCGACACUAUGUGUUGUUGGGUAGGGGAGCGUUCUGUAAGCCUGCGAAGGUGACCUGUGAGGGUUGCUGGAGGUAUCAGAAGUGCGAAUGCUGACAUAAGUAACGAUAAAGCGGGUGAAAAGCCCGCUCGCCGGAAGACCAAGGGUUCCUGUCCAACGUUAAUCGGGGCAGGGUGAGUCGACCCCUAAGGCGAGGCCGAAAGGCGUAGUCGAUGGGAAACAGGUUAAUAUUCCUGUACUUGGUGUUACUGCGAAGGGGGGACGGAGAAGGCUAUGUUAGCCGGGCGACGGUUGUCCCGGUUUAAGCAUGUAGGCUGGUUAUCCAGGCAAAUCCGGAUAAUCAAGGCUGAGGUGUGAUGACGAGGCACUACGGUGCUGAAGUAACAAAUGCCCUGCUUCCAGGAAAAGCCUCUAAGCAUCAGGUAACAUCAAAUCGUACCCCAAACCGACACAGGUGGUCAGGUAGAGAAUACCAAGGCGCUUGAGAGAACUCGGGUGAAGGAACUAGGCAAAAUGGUGCCGUAACUUCGGGAGAAGGCACGCUGGUGUGU